rnacentral:piRNA from 1 species
UAACAGCACCUUAGAGGCAAAGUUCA